AUCUGGUCUCAUUCGAAUCUUGAGAUUUUUAAAAAGAUCUUGUUGAGAGACGGUUGUGAUCGUUGGACUAUCAAUUAAUACACUUGUUGAGGUACUUCAGGUAGGAGUCAUGGUGCUUUGUAGAAAUUGCAUCACUCAAAAUCAGAUGUAGUUUGUUUCGGUUAUCAAUCAUCAUCUACUUCGUAAUGAAUCGCUGAUACUUUGAUAAAAUCUGUAGCUUUAAUGUUUUGGUUACGAUGUAAAUCCAACCUGGAUUCAAAUUACUAUACACAACAGUAUGCUCAAAGUUGCAAACUUGCCAGAAUUAUAGCAAGUAUCAAACUUUAUGUUUAAAAAAACCUAUGUGACAAGCA